UAUAACAUUAAUUAAAUAAUUAAAUUAAAAAAAUCAGAAAACACACACACACACACACUGUCAUAUUCUUCCUCUUCCGUCACCUAUCUCCACCUCAAACAUAAAGUCCACCCCCCAUCACUACCUCCACAUCCACCUUUAUCCCAACUUGGCUAACACUCAAGUUAAAGCAAUAAGGAGAGCGAGAGAGAUGGAAUUGAAUGUGAGGAAGAGGAAGCAGCUGAAGAAUAAGGCGAUUUGAGCAAAAAUUAGGGCAAACCAGACUGCGAAAAACGAACCAGGGUUAAAAUUGAUGGAAUCGAGGAUAUAGGCUAUCAUGAGGCCAACAGUGAGAAUGGUGACAAUCGGAGUUCCACCAAGUUCUUGGAGGAAGAUGGGGGAUGGUAUCAAGGCAAUAGUGAUUUUGGUGAAGAAGGAAGACGGCGAGUAUUGGGAAUUUCUAGCGGAAGAGCCGCUGCUGCUAUUGGUGGUGCAAUGAUAGACAGAGUAGAAAGAGCUAGGGCUAGGGUUUUGGUCGCCAUUGUAGGAGGUAGUGGGAAACGAAGGGCGCCCAGGAGGAAGAUAUGUAUGGACGGAAGGCCCUCGGCUGGAGUUUCGUCGGAAACCUCUUCGUUGGGGACCUCGGCGGUUGUGGUGACGUCUAAGGAGGUGGCAGAAAUGGGUGUUUGCAAAGGAUAGGUUGGGGCUGGAUUGGGUAGGUUGGGGAAGAAGAUACAGGUUUCCCCCCCUUCUUUUAAUUUAAUUAUGUAAUUAUUUAAUUUAGUAAAUUGAAAGUUACUAUUUUGCCAUUUAUAAGAAGAUUAAAAAUGUGGUCAAACUCAAGUUUUUUGUCAACUAACUGUAAAUUGGAUGUUUUCCAUUCAUUGGGACCUCAACUGUAACGUUUCGA
rnacentral:lncRNA from 1 species